CGUUACCGUGUCGUCUCAGAAGGUUUUCAGCAACAAUCACGUCUGUGGUGACGUCGAUGGCUUUGCGUUUCAGAUUGGAGAGCUUAACCACACGUGCCUGGACCUUGGUAUCACUGUCCUCGUCACUGUCGACAUCGUCACUGUCUUCGCUGUCAUCGUCCCGGUAGUAGUGGUAAUAACCACCACCUGGGUUUAGGUUGCUCAGGGUUGUUAGCCUCUCAGCCUGUUGCUACACAGACAACAUAAGGCUCUGAACAGCAUACAGACCAUGCUGGAGGCUCGGCUCAUAAGCUGCGCACUUUGUAAGUAUACGGGAAAGCACGUUGGUAUCGUGAACCAGACAUCAAACGCUUGAUAGUCCAGACACCUUGGGCUAUCCGAUAGGACCGUGCAGGGAGAUGACGAGAGCUACUACGAGCGGGUCCAGAGAGCAUCUUUUCCGUUGCGAGAAGGAGCUUGCCGAAGCCGCUCUGGAAGACAGAGGGAGCUCCUACGUAUUAGACAUCUUCAGAAAACGUGAGUCAUCGUGAAAGGGUUCAGUGUGACAAUGUCGACUACGAGCGUUACGGGUUGAUCCCUAUCCAUCGGGACGUCAACUCCUCGGCUUACAGCCAGAGAGGGAAAAUCACUUUCAUCUGGAGAAGCUCGUCCGUUAACACGGGGCGGCCCAUCUGCAGGUCCCCGCUGUUCCUAAAAGAAAGAUUAAGGAUUUGAGUUGGCCUGACGGAGAGAUCUUCCAGGCGACUCCGGCCCAUGGAGGAGGCAGAGCAUCACAUCAGAUCAAACAUUGAUAAACCAGUACUUUACCAGCGUUUUAUCAAUAUCUU